rnacentral:rRNA from 1 species
CCUGAUGCAGCCAUGCCGCGUGUGUGAAGAAGGCCCUAGGGUUGUAAAGCACUUUCAGUAGGGAGGAAAGGUAGCAGCUUAAUACGUUGUUGCUGUGACGUUACCUACAGAAGAAGGACCGGCUAACUUCGUGCCAGCAGCCGCGGUAAUACGAGGGGUCCAAGCGUUAAUCGGAAUUACUGGGCGUAAAGCGUACGCAGGCGGUUCAUUAAGCCAGAUGUGAAAUCCCCGGGCUCAACCUGGGAAUUGCAUUUGGAACUGGUGAACUAGAGUCUUGUAGAGGGGGGUAGAAUUUCAGGUGUAGCGGUGAAAUGCGUAGAGAUCUGAAGGAAUACCGGUGGCGAAGGCGGCCCCCUGGACAAAGACUGACGCUCAUGUACGAAAGCGUGGGGAGCAAACAGGAUUAGAUACCCUGGUAGUCCACGCCGUAAACGAUGUCUACUCGGAGUUUGGUGCCUUGAGCACUGGGCUCCCAAGCUAACGCAUUAAGUAGACCGCCUGGGGAGUACGGCCGCAAGGUUAAAACUCAAAUGAAUUGACGGGGGCCCGCACAAGCGGUGGAGC